ensembl:snRNA U6 U6 spliceosomal RNA
GCACUGGCUUUGGCAGCACAUAUACUAAAAUUGGAACAUACAGAAAAGAUUAGCAUGGCCCCUUCAUAAGGAUGACAUGCAAAUUUGUGAAGCAUUCCAUAUUUUU